AACGUAGGAGACAAACGUUAUCCGGAGUUACUGGGCGUAAAGGGCGUGUAGGUGGUUUCGUAAGUCUGGCGUGAAAUAUCUCGGCUUAACCGAGGCAGGUCGUCGGAUACUGCGGGACUAGAGGACGGUAGAGGCGUGUGGAAUUCCGGGUGUAGUGGUGAAAUGCGCAGAUAUCAGGAGGAACACCAAUGGCGAAGGCAGCUCGCUGGGACGUGACUGACGCUGAGACGCGAAAGCGUGGGGAGCAAACAGG
rnacentral:rRNA from 1 species